rnacentral:rRNA from 1 species
AUAUCAAUAAGCGGAGGAAAAGAAACCAACAGGGAUUGCCUUAGUAACGGCGAGUGAAGCGGCAACAGCUCAAAUUUGAAAUCUGGCCCUUGGGUCCGAAUUGUAAUUUGUAGAGGAUGAUUUUGGUGCGGUAUCUUCCGAGUUCCUUGGAACAGGACGCCUUAGAGGGUGAGAGCCCCGUACGGUUGAAUGCCUAGCCUCUGUAAAUCUCCUUCGACGAGUCGAGUAGUUUGGGAAUGCUGCUCUAAAUGGGAGGUAAAUUUCUUCUAAAGCUAAAUAUUGGCCAGAGACCGAUAGCGCACAAGUAGAGUGAUCGAAAGAUGAAAAGCACUUUGAAAAGAGGGUUAAAUAGCACGUGAAAUUGUUGAAAGGGAAGGAUUUGUGACCAGACUUUUUCUGGGCGGAUCAUCCGGGGUUCUCUCCGGUGCACUUUGCCCAGUAAAGGCCAGCAUCGGUUUUCGGCGGGGGAUAAAAGCAGUAGGAAUGUGGCUCUCUUCGGGGAGUGUUAUAGCCUAUUGUAUAAUACCCUGCUGGGGACCGAGGUACGCGCUUCUGCAAGGAUGCUGGCGUAAUGGUUAUCAAUCACCCGUCUUGAAACACGGACCAAGGAGUCGAACAUUUGUGCGAGUGUUUGGGUGUUAAACCCUCACGCGUAAUGAAAGUGAACGGAGGUGAGAGCCCUUACGGGUGCAUCAUCGACCGAUCCUGAAGUUUUCGGAUGGAUUUGAGUAAGAGCAUAACUGUUCGGACCCGAAAGAUGGUGAACUAUGCGUGGAUAGGGUGAAGCCAGAGGAAACUCUGGUGGAGGCUCGCAGCGGUUCUGACGUGCAAAUCGAUCGUCAAAUCUGCGCAUGGGGGCGAAAGACUAAUCGAACCAUCUAGUAGCUGGUUACCGC